CAACUUUCAACAACGGAUCUCUUGGCUCUCGCAUCGAUGAAGAACGCAGCGAAAUGCGGUAAGUAAUGUGAAUUGCAGAAUUCAGUGAAUCAUCGAAUCUUUGAACGCACCUUGCGCCCCUUGGUAUUCCGAGGGGCACACCUGUUUGAGUGUCGUG
rnacentral:rRNA from 1 species